rnacentral:misc_RNA from 1 species
GAUACUAAUACCUCUUAUUUCUCCAAGCUCUUCGAAAGGCGGGAUUGGUGUUCAGGCAAUAGCAGAAGCUCUUGGAGUAGCUGCUGUAAAAGCAAUAGUUGCUAUUACUGCCAUUAUUGCUGGGGGGCGCUUGUUUCUUAGGCCAAUUUACAAGCAAAUUGCAGAAAACCAGAAUGCAGAAAUAUUUUCGGCGAAUACCCUGCUUGUAAUUCUUGGAACAAGUCUCCUUACAGCACGGGCUGGACUUUCUAUGGCAUUAGGUGCAUUUCUGGCCGGUCUUCUCUUAGCAGAAAC